AGAGCAAUGGGGACGGGCAGGGACAGAGCUGCGGGCUGAGGUUCCUCCGUUCGGCGAAGCCCCUUCUCUCUGCCCCCGCCUGCUCUGGGCUUUCUUGGCUAUGUCUGCUCCUGACAGGAGGGAUGUGUGUUGCCAGGGGUGGGGGCUUGGCGUGUGUGCGUGUGAGAAUAUGUGUGUGUGUUUAAAAUACAAAAAAAAAAAAAAAAGAAGCGUGCCUAUACUCAGCCGCGAGACGCUGGCCAGCCUCCAUCCGUGCCAACUCCCCUCCGAGCUGGCACUGGGGACUCCGGAGGCACGGGGAGGAGGAAGGUGCGGGCAGCUUGCGGUGAGGAUGGACGCGUGCCACCGACGUAUGCCAGCGGCUGCAGGGGGCCAAACGCCUAUCCACAAAACCCACCGCGAUCGCUGGCAGCCGUGGCGGGAGGCGGCAGCAGUUGGCAGAGGUGCCAGGGAGGGCCGGCUGGGGCAGGUGGAUCCUGGCAGCAGCAGCGCAGGUAAAGCGUGCGGGCUCGCGGGGUGUGGGCGCCUGGCAUCUGCGUCGGGUGCCAGAGGCCGGGGCCGGAUCUUGGCCUGGCUCUGGGUUGCAGGGCGUGGCAGCAUCAGGGAGGGCUGAAUCCCGCAGGGUUCUGGGCCAGCCUGGUAGAGGACGGCUCCUCUCGGCUUCCCCAGCGUCGCCCUGGGGCCUGUUUCCAGCUGUGCUUGGCCCUUCGUCCUCCAGGGAGCUCGGUUGGGUGGGCUCGGUGGGGCCAGCAUGGGGUCGGCCACAUCACCUCCGCCUGAUGCCCUGUGGGCCCCCAGGGCCAGGUCUCCUCUGCCCAGUUCCGUAUAGUCCCCCAGAUGGUCCCCAAAUGUUGGUCGCUGUCCCCAUGCGUGGGCUGCAGGGCUGUAUCUUGGGGCCCAGGGCUCCUAGGGGAGUGCGUCUGCCUUCCCUCUCGUCUUCCCGGAGCCCCCGCCCCACCUCUUGCUCCCAGCCUGGCUUGGUGCCUCAGAGCCUGUGCGGAACGAUGGGACAGACGCCAAACGUGUGGUAGCAGGAGUGCGGGUGACGGUGCAGCAAGCCCAGCUGCUGAGGGUGGGAAGGAGCCCGAGGUGAGGGACUCCCCAGCAGCUCCAAGGCAAAGUCCUGCUGCCCUUCCCAGCAAUUACAGGCUGGGCAGAAAGAGCUGGGGGCCGUGGGAGAGGGGAUUUUCACCUGCAGAAAGGUGGGUGACACCCAGGUGGGCCAGCGUGGAGCUGGCAGGGCUGGGGGUGUUAGUCCCGGCGUCUGGCUGUGGCCCCUCAGCGUGAUCCAUGGCGAGCAGGAUGGCAGAGGCUGCCAGCCACAGCAUCAGCUGGCAGAGGCUGGCACCAGACCCAUGCCCUGGCAGGAGCAUGGCACAGAGGGGCCCUGGCUGUGCCGGGGGCUCUGGGCUGGCCGCUGUCCCAGUCAAUGCUCUGGGCAGCCAAUCCAGUCCCAGAAAGAAGGUUGCACUGGAGGGGCGAUUAGAGCACAUGGGCAGGGGCUGGGGUAAAGAUGGCUGGGUGGCUGGGCCCCCAGCUCCUCCAAGCCCGGGAGGAGGUUAGGCCCAUGGACCUUAAAACUCCGAGCCUAGAGUCGGGCUGGCCCACAGGAGCCUCCACCUUGAAGGGGCUAGGAGGGGCCUCUGAGGCCAAGGUCAGGAGCCCGGGCUGGGCUGAGGGGCAGGGAGGGCUGGGGGGGCGGGGGAGGGCAGUGGUCAUCUGGUCCAGACGCCCAGGGGUCGGGCAGAGGUCGGGAACACAGGGUCCUGGGGUCGGACAGAGCCGGCAGGACUGAAGGCCCACGAGGGGUCUGGGCUGUGCUUCAGAGCUUCAGGGAAAGGCUCAGAGCCCCGCAGAGGCCCAGCCUGAGACAUCCCGGGGGCGGAGGUGCGGCGGGGCUCCCAGGGACUGGCCAUCCUCAGCCUCCUCUUCCCCUUAAGCCCCGGGAGGCGCUGCUGUGGCGGCUUCAGUCCGACUCUGGCCAACACUUCAUGACGGGGGCUUCCCCUUGGAAGUGCUGGCGGUGGGGUCAUCCCGGGUGGGCCUUGGCGCAGGUGAGCUUCCCCAGUGGCCGCCUGGACCCGGCCCUGCAGUCCCUGCCCUCAGAUGGCACAGGCGUGGAGGGCGGGCAGGGUGGGCCCCAGCAUGGGUGUCAGUGGGAUAAACACUCAGGCAGGGGGGCUCCGGGGAUUUGGGGACACAGCAGUGGCCCUGGCCCCUCAGGCUCAGGGGUGGGGGGCGGGGCACAACACAUUCCAGGAUUCCCAGAGGAGACUUAGAUGGGCGAGGUGCUGGCUGGAACCCUGGCUUGGGUCUGCACUGGGUGGGAUGGCAGCACCUGUGGGUCCCAGGCCUCAGUCGUGAGGAGAGUGGCAUGAGUGGAUGCCCCUCCCUCGAGGGCCCCAGGGGACCUGAAAAUGGCAUGGAGGGUGGGACAAGCUGGAAGCUGCGGCCCCCACGAUGGAGACUGGGGACCGGGCUUCUCCCGCUCUGCUGGGCAAGGUCCCCCCCCCAACCUCUCACCCCCCACCCCUCACCUGCAGGCCUGAACACCCAGCAGGCACCUCACCCACUGAGGGGCUUCCGGGGUCCUGGCUGCCCACUGGGCUUCCAGCAACAGGUGCAGGUCCCUCCGGCCCCAACCACAGCCCCGUCCCAUGCCCCGGGUGUGUGCCGCCCCUGCGGCGCCCCAUUCCAGCCCUGCCUGACCCAGGUCAAGACUGUCUCUCAGGCCCCUUCCCACCCUCAGCUGCUCUGACCCGGCCAUGAGCCUGAGUAGGAAGGGUGGGCAGGGGGCUGUCCCGGGAUCGAGGAAGUUGGCCCUGCCAUCACCCCCACUGUUUCACCCACAGCUGCCCCUGCACAGGGCUGGUCUUUGUCAGGGGCGCAGCCUUGCUGGGCCACAGCAGAACAGGGGACCCUGCUGCCUGCCGCAGCCCUCCUCCCUCCACCUCCGAAUUUCACAGUCCCUGCUUCCCGCGCCGGCUCGGAGCUCCCUAGAGACUCCUGCCAGAUGUUCCUGGCAGCCUCACAUCGCUUCCCUAAUGAAAUAUUCAUGGGCCUUUCUGCCUCUUGACAUAAAGCCUUCUGCAGCUCCACGCACCAUGGAGAGGGAGCUGGCCUCCCAACAAACCCUAGGAAGGAGUGGGCGCCCGGCCAGCCCCUCCCCCUGUGCCAACCCCGGCCGCCCACUGUGCCUCCCGAGACAGUGGCUGGGCCUCCGCCUCCCCUUUGCUCUGCUAAGGGUCAGGGGUCCAGCUGCUGCGCCCUCCCCCAGCCCAGAGGCCUCCCUGCCGCCUCCGCCUCCCGAGAGCCCAGUGCCAGCUGUGCGGGCACAUCAGCCCUGGGGCUGGGCUCUGGAGGGAGGGCAGCCGCCACCCCGCAUAGGAGGGAGCCAGUACCUGUGUGUCCAGGACCACCCUCACAGGCCCAGGGAGGAGGGGUUCUCCCUACCUCUUACUUCAGUACCUUGGUGGCCAAGAGCUCCUUACCCCAUGCCAACAAGACCAGGCUCCUGGAGUCCACCUCGCCCCUAGCUGCAUGGUGGCCAGCCUGGUCUUGCAGUCACCCGAUGUCAUCCGUCCACACCUCUGUCCCUGUGCUCACGCACACGGUGUGGGCACCACGCCGGGUUCUGUGCGUGGAGAUCAGACUUCAUGACGUUGAGCAAAACCUGCCCAGCCUUGCGCUCCAGGUAUUCACGCCAGCCCCCACCAGGUCAUGUGGGCGGAGGACCUCGGGGCAGGGGUGGUGAGGGCAAGAAGGACAAGACGGAUGGAAAGUUCCAGGGCCUGGGAACUGUGUGAGGAGUAGAAAGCGGCCAGUCAGUGAGUCCUACACAGAGGGGACCUUUGUGCCCCAGGUCAAAGGAGAAGGGAGCGGGCCCCAGCCGAGUCCACACCAGCCUCUGCUCGGUCCACAGGCCCUGUCUGGCUCUGCUAGGUCUCCUCAGUCAGGAGGUCCAUGAGACCCCGGCCCCGGGUUCUGGUCUGUAGGUGGUGGCCACAGCGAGGCCCCUCUGAGCGGGAGUCUGCCCCACAUGGGGUGCCCUCUCCACGCGCCUGCGUGGCUCACCCUGGGCUCUGCUCUGCUGUGCAGGCAGGGGCCCAAAAGGCUUACCCGGGGGAUCUAGGGCUGCCCCAGUCUCUGUGAUUCCCGCGCCCCCUUGCUCCUGGCCUCUGGGUCAAGCCUUUGUCUUUAGCGGUCAUCUCGACCUUAACUGUCACCUACAGUGGCAGGGAAACAGUUACCCUACCAUUCACAGAGACAGUCUCAGCCUCCACAUUUCGGGAGACAGAAGUUCAGAGAGGCCAUGUUGCUUCCCUGAGGCCGCAGAGCCAGAAAAGAAGCUGCCUGGGCGCAUCUAUCCAGGAGCCCCGGCAUCGUCACCAGGGCCACACAAGCAGCGAGGACCCUCCCGGGAACCAGCUCCCUGACUGGGACGCCCCAGCCCUCCUGAGCUCACUGCCCAGGGAUCCGGCCAGUGCCCCUCCCCCAUGCGGGCAGUGGGCUGGGACGCGCGGGGGGAGGGGGCUUGGGCCGCGUCGUCCCUCCGCCUCCCCAGGUCCCAGCCGUCUUGCUCCCUGAGCUGCUGGCGGGGUAAUAAGCUCUGCGUGUGGUGUGGAAAUAAAGCACGUUCCACGGAACAAAUGGUGUUAAUGUGCAGAAGCACUGCAGCCCGGAGUUACCCAGCGCCUGGAGGGCGGCGCGGCAGCUGCACCAGAAUGAGCGGCUGCGCGGAGAAUCAGCGAGGCCAUACGUCCCCGUCCCCGUGGAGGGACAAAGCAUCCCAGCCCUGGCCCCCAGCAGCGCCGGCCCUCCAGGCGGGAGGCGGUUCCAGGAAGUGAAGUGAGCAGGUGCUGGGACUCCCCUCCCCUCCUGGAGGCGCCUGCCCAGAGUAGUCAGUGACCACCCCUAGGUCCCACCUGACGGCCCUGCCUGGCCAGGUGUGGUGGCCACUGGGACAGCCUCCCUCAGACCCGAGGCCACUGCCUGUGGGGUCCAGCGGCCUUGUCCUGUCUCAGCUGCCAUCACCCCACCAGGCCCCCAAAAUGUGCUCUGGGGCCCAUCCCGCCACAAAGCCUGGGGUCUCACUGCUCCUCUCCUAGAACGGCCACUUUUCUUCUUUACGCAGGGGUCACGCUCCAGGCCUUUCUCCAAGCCCUCCCCGCGCUGGGACGCAUUUACCCGCCUGCCUGUUGACUUCGGCUGGCACCCACUCCUGGGCUGCUCAGAGCUGCUGCUCCCUGUUGAUGAGCACUGUAGGUGGCUUCGAGAUGCACGCCUCGGGACGAUCUGCCUUCCUCCCCCGCCUGCCAUUCCCGCACUGACAAACGUCUGCCCUGGGUGUUAGGAGCGAGGUGCACAUUGCACCUUACAUCCUCAUGGGCGGCUCCAGGAGCCUCACUGCAGCUGAUGAGUACUUAACACCAUCAUCCAUCUGUGUGGCCGUUGGGGCUGGCACAGAAGCUCUGGAUGCCUCUACCUGGAAACCAGGGCUGUUCUCCCUGGAUGGCAGGAAGGAAGCAGGUGGGAGGCGGGCGGAGGUGCUUGUUCCACCGGCACUCCUGGGUUCUGAGGACAUGGCACUUCCCCGCCUGUGUCUUGCUUUGGCCAUAGGUUCUGAGCUUCUGCUUCUCCUCUGUGGGUACGAGGGCCGCUCUGGCAUUAUGUCUUCUAGACCUGCGCCUCCUUCAGACGUCAGGGCCGUGCACUCAGACACCUCCAGUGAAAGCUUUUGGGGUUUGGAUGGAUGGACAGAUGGACAAAUUAACAGCAUUCUGCACUUGGAAUGACAAAACUUUAGGCAAGAAAAGGGUCAUUGGAGAAUAUCUAGUCCAACACUCUAAUGGGAUAGAGAGGGAAACUGAGGCCAGCAGAAAGCAUGUCACCUGACCCAGUCACAGCCCUUGGAUACAGAGGGAAACUGAGGCCAGCAGAAAGGAUGUCACUGGACCCAGUCAGCCCUUGGAUAGAGAGGGAAACUGAGGCCAGCAGAAAGUGUGUCACCAGACCCAGUCAGCCCUUGGAUAGAGAGGGAAACUAACGCCAGCACAAAGGAUGUCACCGGACCCAGUCAGCCCUUGGCCUAGGACCUGCAGACAGGCCACCUGCUGCUUCUGUGACCCCCACAGCCCAGACUCACACAUCUUCCUCCAGGUCAGGGAGUGAAGGGGUCUGCAGUCCUCUCCAACUGAGGGCAGGGACAGUCUCUACGUCCUGAGACCCCAGGCCCCUGACCUACCUGCCGGCCUGCCUGGCAAGGGCACACCUAUCAGGUUGCACCAUAAGGCCACCGGGCUGGGUCUGACUCACCCACAAUCCAUCAGCCUGCUGGUCUUUACACAUUCUGGGAGAGGCAAGAAUCUCUGUAGUUGCUAAAACACUUCCUCUUGGUUAUUCUGAGAACUAAAAACACACAUUAUUUGAAAGUCUUGGGUUUAGUCUAAUCUAAACCCCUCAGGUCGUGACUUAAGCUCUGGCCUCAGAGGUCUCCAUUUAUGCUUGGAUGAGCCACUCCUUUGGUCUUUGUCCCCUCACUGGAAGGCAUGUCCAUGAGGAAAUGGGGAGAAGAAUAUAGAGCUAUGAACUUGGAAUUUUGGUGUCAGAAGGACCUAGGUUCAAGUUCAGGCUCUAUCACUAGCUAGGGACCUCACUUUCUUCAUCUGUAGACUGACGAUAAUAAUAGUACAUACCUCAAAAGAGCUGUGCAGAUUCAAAGUGAUCCUGUGUCUAAACCUUUCUGUAUGAUGUCUGGUACCAAGUGAAUGCCCAGAAAACGGGUAAGGAUUGUUGUGAUGAUGAUGAUGGUGAGGAUGGGGAUAAUGAUGAUGGUGAUGAUAGGGAUGGUGAUGACUGUGGGGAUGGUGGUGAUGGUGAUAGUGAUGAUGAUGGUGAUGAUGAUGGUGGAGAUGAUGGUGUGAUGAUGAUGAUGGUGAUGGUGGGGAUGAUGAUGAUGGUGAUGAUAAUGCUGCUGCUUGCAGCGUGAGUGGACUUGGAUCAGUGUGUGGAUCCUCCCAGGACUUCCUCGGAAGUGCUGGGCACACAUUUCCAAAAGGAGCCUCCUUCUCAUGUGCAGCUACAAAUAGCAUGUCUAGCAGAUUGGGGGCUGCCUAACCAAUCCUUUCAUCAGCGUCCCCAUGGACAGGUCUUUAAGAAAGCUAAGGUCAGGACCAGGUGCCAUGGGUGCUCCAGAGAUCCAGCACAAAGCUGUGUCCUGCAGGUGUUUAGAGACAAGUGGGAAAGACAUGCUGGACUUUGGGAAUGUUAAGCGUCCAUGCUCCACAAGAAUAAAAGAGGCCUCAUGAAGCUUCACAAGAGCAGUGGCCCAGGGAGCGAGGGGAGAGACAGAAGGCUGGGCAGAGGCAGUCGGUCUGGACAGGGCCCUGAGACUGGUUACCUGAGACAGAGGUGAGGAAGAGGACGUGCCAGGAGAGGGCCCCAUGGUGUGCAAACUGAGGGCUCCUGUGUCGUGUGGUAGGAGGUGGCUGGAAGAAUGGGGUAGGACAGGCCCCCACAGGCAGGAAGGUUGGGUUUCUCCAGUAAAUGCAGAGCGAGGCCCUGUGAGAAAGGGUUCCAGUCUGGCCCGUCUUAGCUUUCAGAGUCACGGCUCCCGAGCCUGCCUGCUCCUUACUGGCCCCGCCCAUCUCUGAUGCCAGGCAGCCUCUGGCCUCUGUUUCCCUCUUAGUCAAACUCCGACUUUGCAGAGAAACUCCGUUCUGAAGCAAAAUUUUACUUACAAUGGCAAUUUAUAGCACAUCUGCUUGGGAGGGGCCGUGGCUGUCGGGGCUGGUGGUGAGGGUGGCUGCAGCGAGGGUCCCAAGUGCCCUGCCGCCCCCACCCGCCCUGCAUGGAGGCCCCUUGGCAGAGCUCCAGGCUCUGCUUCACACGGCUGGCCUGAGGC
rnacentral:lncRNA from 1 species